rnacentral:pre_miRNA from 1 species
UGUUUGGUGGGACAGUUUCGGUGAGAUAUGUUUGAUAUUCUUGGUUGUUAAGAUUUCAAUUAUCACCCAGGAAUCAAACAUAUUAUUACCGUGACUGUCGU